AACAACUUCAAUGCAUUAUAUAAACCUGCUUAUUCUAUUCAUAAUAUAGCUGCAGUCUAGAUGUUGAGGCAUAUCCACAUUUGUAAUUGGGGUUUAACUGCACUCCUUUGAGUAAUGUGCUGGAGGAAUUCAAACCACUGCAACUAGCAUCCCCACCUGAUAAAACCAUGCAGCUUGAAGUCAGCUCUCGCAAAGGCAAAUUGUGGCUCAACUCUGAUCUGAGGAUGACAGUGAUCAGUAUCGUCCCAUUCGGAUUGGAUGCUGGACCCCCUGCUUCUUCCUGUGCCCCCUGAGUGGAGCUUUGGGUUUGAUGUCCAUGUCGUCGCUCUGGGAACACUCCACUCUCCUCAGUCUGAGCUGAGGAUCAAAUUCACAGAAAGAGGUGGAGAGUGAGUAGGGAGGCAGCACCUCACGGAUGUAAGACAAGUUACCCUCUCUCUGAGUAAAGGAAGCGAGAUGUCACUCACCCAGAUGGCAAAGGCGAUGA